rnacentral:sRNA from 1 species
AUUAAAAUCUCAUAAUAAUAUGUCAUAGAGAUUUUAUAGAUGACUUCAGUUUUCUCCAAAAGACAUUGUAAUAAGGCAACUCAUUGUUUAUCUAAACAUGGAUGUACAUCUUUCUUUUUUUUUUUCACUGAUAACAUGUGGCCACCUAGUUGGCUAUCUGAACAAUUAUAUCAACAUAAUUACAUUUUAGAUGAAAAAAGACUUCAUUUUUCUUCAAACCUAUGAAUUCUAUUUGACCUUCUUCUACAUCAUUCUAUAUCAUUGUUUUUUCGUAUCUAUAAAAUCAGUCCCAUAUAUUUUCAAUCGAUGUUAACUUUGUAGUAUUUUUUGGUACUCCAGAAACCGUAAGUGUUAUGUGGCUUAUGUGUUGGAACGCUUUACAACUUCAGUGGAAAGAGGAGCUCUCUCAAUUACAAGACGAAAACUCUGUCUCACUAGGGCCUUCAUCGCUACGCAGAUUUUUCUCGGAGGAUGAAAAUUAUGUGUUUUUCUCGACAAGUGCGAUGCCAAGUGUAAUUCUCUACAAAAAAAUAUAUUGAUAUGGAACCUAACGAAUAUUGUUGACGUCUGUCUGUUGGAAAUUGCUAACGACAUGAACAUCAAUGUUCUAACAUUGAAGCAGAUACCCAAAUAUCUCGCCAUAUUUCAUUAAUGGGUAAGUUCAUUGUAUUUUUAAACUUCUGCAUAUAUAUUGAAUAGAAAAAUCCCACGCAACAAUAUAUUAAAAUAUGGUUUGUUAUUCUAUUGAAAGUAGUUCAUUGUUAUAUAUAUAAAUAUAUCUUACAACUUUA